rnacentral:rRNA from 1 species
UACGGGGGGGGCAAGCGUUGUUCGGAAUUACUGGGCGUAAAGGGCUUGUAGGCGGCCAACUAAGUCCGACUUGAAAUCCCCAGGCUUAACCUGGGAACUGCGUCGGAUACUGGAUGGCUUGAAUUCGGGAGAGGGAUGCAGAAUUCCAGGUGUAGCGGUGAAAUGCGUAGAUAUCUGGAGGAAUACCGGUGGCGAAGGCGGCAUCCUGGACCGACAUUGACGCUGAGGAGCGAAAGCUAGGGGAGCAAACGGG